ACUGCUCAGUAACACGUGGAUAAUCUGCCCUCAGGUGAGGAAUAAUCCCGGGAAACUGGGGCUAAUGCCUCAUAGGAGACGGGUGCUGGAAUGCUCUGUCUCCGAAAGGUCCGCCGCCUGAGGAUGAGUCUGCGUCCGAUUAGGUUGUUGUUGGGGUAACGGCCCAACAAGCCUUUGAUCGGUACGGGUUGUGGGAGCAAGAGCCCGGAGAUGGAUUCUGAGACAUGAAUCCAGGCCCUACGGGGCGCAGCAGGCGCGAAAACUUUACAAUGCGAGCAAUCAUGAUAAGGAAACCCUGAGUGCCUGUCAAUGCAGGCUGUUCUGGUGUCUAACACACACCAGGAGAAAGGGCGGGGCAAGACCGGUGCCAGCCGCCGCGGUAAUACCGGCUGCUCGAGUGAUAGCCACUUUUACUGGGCUUAAAGCGUUCGUAGCUUGGUCGUUAAGUCUCUGGGGAAAUCUUUUGGCUCAACCAAAAGGCGUCUCAGGGAAACUGACGAUCUUGGAACCGGGAGAGGUAAGACGUACUUCGGGGGUAGGAGUGAAAUCUUGUAAUCCCCGAGGGACGACCAAUGGCGAAGGCAUCUUACCAGAACGGCUUCGACAGUGAGGGACGAAAGCUGGGGGAGCAAACCGGAUUAGAUACCCGGGUAGUCCCAGCCGUAAACGAUGUGCGUUAGGUGUGUCAGUGACCACGAGUCGCUGAGGUGCCGAAGGGAAACCGUGAAACGCACCGCCUGGGAAGUACGGUCGCAAGGCUGAAACUUAAAGGAAUUGGCGGGGGAGCAC
rnacentral:rRNA from 1 species